CCACGAGAGGGCAUCAUCUGAUAUUUUCCCUGAACCGGAUGAGGCGAGGCGAGGCUGGUGGAGUAUUUGAGUUCAGGCGGGAAAAACGAAUACGUGAUGACGCAACACGUUGAAUGAAUUGUUUUUGUUUAUGCGAUGGCGCCCAACAAAAUAAAACACGUCUAGUGUACAUCACAGCUGAUUUUCUCCCUCAGACUGCCGAAGAGAGCUGGGUCAGACUGCAUGUUACCUUCACUCAGUUUUUCAACAGACGCUCACGGUUUGCGCACACCAGAAAAGAUGACAUCCAUGAUGGAGUGGCUUUCCAGCCCAGCUGUCCAAAACAUGUUUUUUGGACAAAUAACAAGGAAUGUCUCCUCAAAAAGCCCAGGGGAAUGCUGGGAUCCCCCUGCAGUGCUACACCCAGCACAACACCUCCAAGAGAAGAUAAUGUGAAAACCCCAACAGGCAAGUUGUUAUUUGGCCACCACACAGACAGAAUGGAAAAAUGUUGUUUUCAUAAUACAAAUCUUGUUUCUGUCUUGAAUCUGGGCUGAAUUAGGUGGAUUUAGGACUUCAAGUCAACAAACAAAGACUCCUAAGGAGCAGAGAUUUGAUUUGAAGGAUAGAUAAACUGGGGUCUGCAAAGUUUUUUUUCAUUCUGACCACAAAAAAGCGCAUUUGACUUUUUAAACCUAAAUUUUAUAUAGCUUAUAUAGUUGAUAUUAUUAUUUAAUUUCAAUAGUUAUAUUGUGAAAUAUUAUAAUUUAAAAUAACUGUUUUCUAGUUUAGUGUAUUUUAAAAUGUCCUUUCUUUAUUUAAUGGCAAAGCUGACUAUUCAGCAUCAUUACUCCAGUCUUCAUUUUUAUAGACCCAUUUAGUCUGUAUUCAGUGGUGGUCAUUCAGGUGGAGUUUUAUUAACAGUGGUGGUUCACAGAAGAAAUCCAGACCUACAGCAUCUGACCAUAAACCCAGCUCAACAAACCCACACAGAAGUGCCCAGCAGGUUCCACAGGGCUCUCCUGAGACGAGAUGCCCUCUUUGUAGAGAAUCCUUCAGUUUCUGAUUAUCUGCCUUUCCAUGCUUCCUCCUGCCUGGAUUGUGAUUCAGUGGCGCUCAUGGGAGUCAGGGAACCAGAGGUCAUGAUCUCACUGCACUCUUCUGUUUUUGGCUCUGGUGCAGAUGAGCAGCAUAUGGUUCCAUGUCCUCUAUGCUCCUUCCGAUUCCCCCCAGACUGUACCCAGCAGCACGCCAGCGCCUGUGGUGACCCGGUAGAGCCUGGUACUGCGUGACAGAACUGAGUGAAACCUUUUCAAAAUAGCAAUAUGCAAAUCAGAUAUUCUCUUGGUUUCUCUGGCCUAACAUUGUAUAUACUACUGCCUUAGGAAUUUUUUGGCUUAGGAAAAGUUUCAUUCUCCAGUUUUUGUUGUUUUUAGAGGCACUUUAUAGCAUUGGUCACUAUGAAAUGUUUGUCGUCUUAUCUGCUUUACACUCUCUUUUUGAUAUCAAGAUCAUAUUAGAAUGCUGUUUGUAAUUGUUUACAUUAUAUUUAUUAUUUAGAAUGUUUAGAUUCCGCCUUGUAAUUUUUAUCACUUCCUCAACAACAAAAAGAAAUAUAUUUUUUGAUUAAAAAAUUAUGUAUACACUACUGUUUAAAAUUUUGGGGUAGGCAAGAUGUUUUCUGUGUUUUUUUUUCUUUUUAUGAAGAAGUCUCUUAUGAUCAUCAAAGCUGCAUUUUAUUUGAUCAAAAAUACAGUAAAAACUUAUAAUAAUAUUAACUUUUAAGCAAAAUCUUUUCUAUUUGAAUAUAUUUUAAAAUGUAGUUUAUCCUGUGAUAGCAAGGAUUGCUUCAGUUUAGAAAUCAUACGAAUAUGCUCAUUUGGUGCUCAAAAACAUUUCUUAUUAUCAAUGUCAAAAAAAGGUUGAGCUGCUUAAUAUUAUUGUGUAAACUGUGAUAAACUUGUUGAAUACAAAUCUUUUGUAUCAUAACUGUCUUUACUGUAACGUUCGAUCAAUUUAAUGUGUCCUUCCUGAAUAAAAGGAUUAAUUUCA